rnacentral:rRNA from 1 species
UGCAGUCGAGCGAGAACCAGCCCUUCGGGGUUGGGGAAAGCGGCGAACGGGUGAGUAACACGUGGGUAAUCUGCCCUCGGUUCUGGGAUAGCCCGGGGAAACCCGGAUUAAUACCGGAUAGCCUCUCGAGCUCUCGGGCUCGUGAGAAAAGGUAGCUUCGGCCUCCGACUGAGGAUGAGCCCGCGGCGGAUUAGCUUGUUGGUGGGGUAACGGCCCACCAAGGCGACGAUCCGUAGCUGGUCUGAGAGGACGAUCAGCCACACUGGGACUGAGACACGGCCCAGACUCCUACGGGAGGCAGCAGUGGGGAAUCUUGCGCAAUGGGCGAAAAGCCUGACGCAGCGACCCCCGCGUGAAGGGAAGAAAGGCUUUCGGGGUUUGUAAACCCUCUUUUCAGGGAGGGGACGAAGCCACCUCGGGGU